AUUGAACGCUGGCGGCAUGCUUUACACAUGCAAGUCGAACGGUAACAGGCCUUCGGGCGCUGACGAGUGGCGAACGGGUGAGUAAUGCAUCGGAACGUGCCCAGUCGUGGGGGAUAACUAUCCGACAGGAUAGCUAAUACCGCAUACGAUCUGCGGAUGAAAGCGGGGGACCUUCGGGCCUCGCGCGAUUGGAGCGGCCGAUGUCAGAUUAGGUAGUUGGUGGGGUAAAGGCUCACCAAGCCAACGAUCUGUAGCUGGUCUGACAGGACGACCAGCCACACUGGGACUGAGACACGGCCCAGACUCCUACGGGAGGCAGCAGUGUGGAAUUUUGGACAAUGGGCGCAAGCCUGAUCCAGCAAUGCCGCGUGCAGGAAGAAGGCCUUCGGGUUGUAAACUGCUUUUGUACGGAACGAAACGGCUCUGGUUAAUACCCGGGGCUAAUGACGGUACCGUAAGAAUAAGCACCGGCUAACUACGUGCCAGCCGCCGCCGUAACAC
rnacentral:rRNA from 1 species